CUUAUGAUACAUCAUUUUGUCACUGUGACCACAUAUAACGUGAUUUUCGGCGAUGGCACAAAACUUACAGUAAUCGGGGACCAUAAAUUAAUGUACUUUGUUAUUUCGUCUUUUGCUGGUACCACAUGAGGUUAGUCCACAGGUUUGGCUCAGAGAACUGAGAAUAAAGGAAACGUUUUCCUGCAGCUGCAAAACAGUGUGAAUAAUGAAAGACUGUACUUUGGCAGUGGGACAAAACUCACAGUCCUAGGAAAGAACGAUGAAAUCAUACCUCCAGCUGUGGCCAUCUUUUCACCAUCAAAGCAAGAGAUCCAACAGAAAAGCAAGGCCACACUGGUAUGCCUGGCCUCUGGUUUCUACCCUGACCACCUGAAUCUGUUCUGGAAGAUGAAUGGUGCUAAAAGGACAGAAGGGGUGGGGACAGAUGAGUUUUCCACACAGAAUGGGACUACCUACUCAUUGACCAGCCGACUGAGGAUCUCAACACAGGAAUGGUUCAACCCUUUGAAUCGUUUUGAGUGUGUUGCCAAUUUUUUGAAGAAUGGAACAGUGGAAUCAAUACACAAAUUAAUCUAUGGUGAUGCUGGUUGUGCGCUCACAGAAGAAAACUGACAGAGAAGUCCUAAAGCUGGGAAGUUUGUAUAUAUCAUGCUUAUUUUCAAGAGUGUUUUGUAUGGGAUGUUUGUGAUGGAGCUGAUGCUUAGGUCCAAGGAAAGGAACAGAGUUCUAUUCUGUACAUGUUUGUCCUGA